rnacentral:rRNA from 1 species
UACGAAGGGGGCUAGCGUUGCUCGGAAUUACUGGGCGUAAAGCGCACGUAGGCGGGUCAAUAAGUCGGGGGUGAAAUCCUGGAGCUCAACUCCAGAACUGCCUUUGAUACUGAAGAUCUUGAGUUCGGGAGAGGUGAGUGGAACUGCGAGUGUAGAGGUGAAAUUCGUAGAUAUUCGCAAGAACACCAGUGGCGAAGGCGGCUCACUGGCCCGAUACUGACGCUGAGGCACGAAAGCGUGGGGAGCAAACAGG